UAGAACCUGUGGUCGAUGACGAUGUGCU
rnacentral:sRNA from 1 species